CCUCUGGCGAAGAUGACUCCUCUGGCGAAGAUGAUUCCUCUGGCGAAGAUGACUCCUCUGGCGAAGGAUGACUCCUCUGGCGAAGAUGACUCCUCUGGCGAAGGAUGACUCCUCUGGUGAUAGUGACUUCUCUGAUGGAAUUGACUUCGCUGGUGAAUGUAUCUCUUCUGCCAUAUUCGUCCCGCCCGUGGGGUCGAUUCCUCUGAUUUAUAUUCCUUCCCUACUCUGCACAUAUUACUCCUCAUCAACCACUCCCCCCUCUAGUCUGGUUGAACCGGGUAUUAUUCGUGUUCAACCAUCGUAGUAUUGUUAAAGCUGGUGCUAUGAUGUUUUCCCUGAUCCCUGCAAAUCAUGAAGAUACGAAAACGUUUAUAUUAUAAGAAAGCAAAGAUAAGCCCCAUAAAUUAUUCUCCAGUGUUUUUGUUACUCCCACCCCUUGGUCUGGCUAGUUCACUCUGGAUUAGUGCAACUAGUCAGAGGACUCGCCCGCAUGGAUGACGUCACCUGCAUUAAAUGCCUGCCCGAUCUACAGUGCUUUUUCCCGUACCCCGAGGUUACUUUUUAACCUUUGCGUCUUUUCGCCUUUCCGUAGGGAUUUUUAGCCGUCGAUUUAUUUCCGUAUGCCACGUGUCGUUCAUCCCGCAUGUUGGUAGUUGCCCGCGUAUAUCUUUACUUAGUCGAUUCGAACUCCCAUUUUUCACUAUUCUUCUUCUCCAGUUUUCUCAAAUCCUUUUAUCUGCAAAUUCCGGCGAUUCUCUCCCUGUUCCGGCGUAUUUCCCGCGAUACCUCCGCUCCGAUUUUUACCGUCCAUUUUUCUCUGCCCUAGGUAAUUUGCGUAUCCUUUUUCUUCCCCAUUAUUUGUGAUCAGUGUAAGUAGUUU
rnacentral:lncRNA from 1 species